AUUGAACGCUGGCGGCAUGCCUUACACAUGCAAGUCGAACGGCAGCACGGGGGCAACCCUGGUGGCGAGUGGCGAACGGGUGAGUAAUGCAUCGGAACGUGCCCAGUAGUGGGGGAUAACUAGUCGAAAGAUUAGCUAAUACCGCAUACGACCUAUGGGUGAAAGCGGGGGAUUCGCAAGAACCUCGCGCUAUCGGAGCGGCCGAUGUCUGAUUAGCUAGUUGGCGGGGUAAAAGCCCACCAAGGCUUCGAUCAGUAGCUGGUCUGAGAGGACGACCAGCCACACUGGGACUGAGACACGGCCCAGACUCC
rnacentral:rRNA from 1 species